AAAAAAACAAAAAAAAACCAAACUUGAUAAAAAAUUCCAACCAAUACCAUAGUUCCACUGAUGGAUUACAGAAAAGGCCAAGGAGACAUGUGAAAUUUUUCACAGACACGCAAAGGAUAGGUACUACAAAACCGUGCAAUAAUACAAAUUCAUGUGCCCACAAUUCCUACUUUAUGCAGUAUCAUGUUGAAGACAACCAUCAAUAGCAUAAUUUAUACAGAUUUUUCAUGCAGCUUGUUUGUUUGCAUCUGUGGCCGGUGGCCCUACCCAUCACCACCAACCCCACCAUUCAAGCUAGCUAGCUAGAAUAAUUCCCAUUUUAGGAGCUGACAUGCUGGUAAAUCAUCUCUCAUCACUAAUCUCAUCAAGUAUAUUUGGAUUCCAUUUAUAUGUAAUAAAAUAACGUGAUUUGAAAGCUUCCAAUAUCAUCACAGUUUCUCCUUAUUUUCACAAAGUCUAUCUAAGUCCUAACAAUAAAUUGAUAUAAAAUAAUAGUAAUUCAGUGGAGUUAUUCUUAGGAGAAUAAUUAUUCUCCAUAAUUACCAUAGCAGACUAAAACAAUUAUGUCCACUGAAAUAAUUAUAUUUGUCUAAAAAUUAACACCACGCUUUUAAUUACUAUCUUCUUACAAAUAAAUGAACAGACAAAUAAAAAUAAGAUCUGUUCCUGUUGUAAUCCUUUUUUUUUUUGGCAUUUUUUUUGCUAAUUACCUAACUUGUUUAUUUUUAAAAUCGAAACACGAAUGAACAAGUAAGAUUAUCAACUGCAAUUGUAGUUUCUUUAAAAAUAUUUGAUACCUAAGAGAGUGGAAACCGUCUUCAGUGCCUUCUGCUUAGCUCUGCCAUCAUGUAAGUCCAACUUCAGAACAAACUUCUGCAACCAUAUGAAUCAUGUACAGAUCUAUGUCAGAUUCAACCAAAUUUUCUGAUAGAAAUCUUUCUAUAUCAAGGACACAAUUUUAUAUCAAAGAAGUCAUAACCAAAUUACAAAUCAAAAACACUGAUUCAGUAUCAAUCUAUCACUUUAAUUAUAUAAACUGUGUCUAUGAAGGACCAAGCUAGAUUAAUGUGCUCAUUCUGAGACACAGCUUGAAACUUAAAAAUAUAAAAACAGGGUGUGCCAUAAAGUAUUGAUUGUUUUAAACCAAACCCAGAAAGGGACUCCUGUGAUACUCACAGUCCAUCAAAAUAAAUAAAAACGAUUCUAGGAAUCAGCCAAAUCGAGAAGUGAUUCAUCAAGCAAAAACCAUAAACAAGAAAUGCGUUGCAUUCGUACGAUACCCAAAAAUAAAGAAGCCAAAGUAAUAAAUUUCAUGAAGAAUUAGAAAGCAAUAAACAAUGAAUAAAACAGAUUCCAAGAAAGGAAUAAAACCUUCAUUUCUGGCUUGCCCUUUUCAGGGAUGCGAGUCUGAAAAA
rnacentral:misc_RNA from 1 species